GGCUGGGGUUCCGGUCGAACACGCGCACGCGUGGGGACGCGCAGGGGCGCGCCGGGCAGGGCUAGCUGGCGUACGGAGGACGGCGCAUGCGUAAGGGAAAAGUGCUGGCUCUCCUACCUCCCACCGAACUCAAAAACUAGUUUGAGAUGGAUUGUGGACGUACUCGUGAAAGGCAGGUAUAGGAACGCUCACAGCUGCUUUACUCGUCAUAAUCGCAAACUGGAGAUAACCCAAACAUUCAUCUACAGCAGAAUGAGUGUAACUUGGGAGCCUUUCCUCCUCCUCCGGGAUUUGGACAGUCACUCCUGGGCAUGCAGUGCUGAGAUGAGGGGUGUCUGCAAGGCAAAGAACAGACGACCCGUGAUCUGGCCCCCGCACACCUCCUUCUGCAGUCAGCUUCCUGCUCUCACCUCUGCUGCUUUGGAAGCUCAGGAUGUCGAUUCCUCGCUAAGUCAUGAGUGGAGCAGACGAAAGCAGGGUUCGCUUGGAGGAGGUGAGAGGCUGGGACCAGAGUGCAGGGGACCCAGGGAGAGCCCGGACAGUUCAGAGCAGUGAGGCCUGGUCAGAGGAGGCGCUGGCCUCGCCCACGCCGCACCCCUUUCCCGCAGCUGUGCCCGCUGACCGGUGAAUGGGACUCCCCUCUGCAUCUGCUGAAGCCACUGUCCAGAGAGGCAGGGAGGGGCCCAGGGACAGGCUGGGCCCCUCGCCGCUUCUUCCCUCCCUGCCGCUGCUGUCCACCCCAAGGAUAGUCACCUAAU